AUCAGGGAAAGGCAAUAACCAUGGUGCUCAGUCUGGUCCAUUACUUCUGAAACAAAAGCAAGACCUACAGUUGCCCUGUUGCCAUGGCAGUCACUAAAGGGAUAAGAAGGUAACUCGCACAGGGAGGAUGAUACCCCUGCCAGCUCCAGUGCCUGGAGAGGAUGAAGAGGAGGCUGUCUAAAGAUAAUCUCUUUCAUCCGUUCUCAAUUUAAAAGGCAGUCGACUGCUUCUGCCUAACUUCUCUUCAGGGAGGUUUCCACAGAUUACAGAAGUACCUUUUUAGUACCCAGGGCACAUUCCAUCCUGUCUCGAAGUCCCUUUCUUCAGCUUCUUCUAGAACUUCUGGUGAACAAGGGUGCUAAGAGCAAAGCACUUCUAAGAUUCAACCACUCAAACUCUGAAACAAAUGUUGGAGGGCUACUCCAUCCGCAUGGCCGCAACCCAACAUGGCAUUUACCUCAAAAGACCCAGUGACUGCUCCCAAAAGCAGUGUGGACGGAUUGUGGGAAGACACAGCAUGAUGGAGCUCCUGAACUUCUGUCUUCUUGGAACACCUGAGACAAGAGAAUGAUGAAUGGCAGCCUGGAGAUCAGCCUGGAGCCACACCUUGCCCUUUGAGUAGCCUCUCCCAUGACAAUCAACACUUUUCUAGAGCCUGGUAAGGUGUGAGAGUUUAGAAUGUCCAUAGGUUAGCUAUGGUAGAGACCUGGAAGACAGGCG
rnacentral:lncRNA from 1 species